CAACGUGAGGAACUUGCCCAUGAGCGGGGGACAACAUUCGGAAACGGAUGCUAAUACCCCAUAGGUGGAUUGGUCGCAUGACUAAUUCAUUAAAGGUGGCUCUGCUACCACUCAUGGAUAGCCUCGCGGCGUAUUAGCUAGUUGGUAAGGUAAUGGCUUACCAAGGCAGUGAUACGUAGCCGACUUGAGAGGGUGAUCGGCCACACUGGGACUGAGACACGGCCCAG
rnacentral:rRNA from 1 species